GCAUUGGUGGUUCAGUGGUAGAAUUCUCGCCUUCCAUGCAGGAGACCCAGGUUCGAUUUCUGGCCAAUGCA
rnacentral:tRNA from 1 species